AUUGAACGCUGGCGGCAGGCUUAACACAUGCAAGUCGAGCGGGGUGAUGGUGCUUGCACUAUCACUUAGCGGCGGACGGGUGAGUAAUGCUUAGGAAUCUGCCUAUUAGUGGGGGACAACAUCUCGAAAGGGAUGCUAAUACCGCAUACGUCCUACGGGAGAAAGCAGGGGAUCACUUGUGACCUUGCGCUAAUAGAUGAGCCUAAGUCGGAUUAGCUAGUUGGUGGGGUAACGGCCUACCAAGGCGACGAUCUGUAGCGGGUCUGAGAGGAUGAGCCGCCACACUGGGACUGAGACACGGCCAAGACUCCUACGGGAGGCAGCAGUGGGGAAUAUUGGACAAUGGGGGGAGCCCUGAUCCAGCCAUGCCGCGUGUGUGAAGAAGGCCUUAUGGUUGUAAAGCACUUUAAGCGAGGAGGAGGCUCUUUUGGUUAAUACCCAAGAUGAGUGGACGUUACUCGCAGAAUAAGCACCGGCUAACUCUGUGCCAGCCGCCGCAGUAA
rnacentral:rRNA from 1 species